rnacentral:misc_RNA from 1 species
AACGCAUAUUGCGGUCAAGGCUCCGGCCGAGACCAUGUCUGCCUCAGCGUCGGUGUGACCCCCACACUCCCCCCCCCCCGGGGGGGGCAGUGGAUCUGGUCUCCCCACUGGCAUAGCGAGUGGGCUGGCCGAAAGCCAGAGGCUCGCGCUCGGACCUGUAUGGCACCAGCAAGGUAGGUAGCUAGCUACUCCAGCUGAUGCUUUGGGGCCGGGCGUGCGGGCCCGCAGGAAGCACACACCCACCUUUUCGACCUGAGAUCAGGCAAGGCUACCCGCUGAACUUAA